AUGAAAAGACAAUGUAGAGAUACAAGUAACGUCAAUACCAGUUAUUUCAUCCCCUUUCCUUAUUGAUUGAUAGUGUCUUACACAACAUCAGGCCCUGCCCAAAUGGGUUUAUAACUCGUUAAAGAGCAACAAACAACAAGAGGAUCCCACCUCCAACUUAUUAAAGAAAUGACGGAACGCAUCAAAUCGGACAGUAGAUUCUGUCGGUUUCUGUACGUGGGGCAUUGAAUAACAUCUAAAUCAUCUUCAUGACUACCAACAUCACAAAGAACCCAUGAACAUGGCUCCUCAGGAAUGCCUCUAUACCUGUUGACUUCAUCGGGGUUAUGCGUAUGGUGUGGGUGGAAAACGUAACAGCACUGUCUCCUGCCUCGUCACGGAUAGCUGGAGGUCAUCAGACAUUCCCAUUCCCAUCAGCACAGUUGGGCCUCGGCCAGAAACAUGCACGGAUGCUUCGGUAGCACCACUCAAGGCGUGGGCAGGAAGACCUUGUGUGGCGGCGGACACCUGUGAUGGAGUCCAUCUGGAGAUAAGGGUUGGAGGUCACAUGCCUCCUGUAAGCUACUGUGCAGGUUUAACACAGAAACUUGCACAGGGCCUCCCAGGCACAGCUGUGGAAUUGUGGAUGCCCAGAGGCAGCAGUGCCUGUGACAUUUUUAAUCAAUCAAAGGAAAACCCGUAAAGCUGUUCAUGUAAUCCAGCCUCGGACCUGAAUUCUUAAGCCUUUAGACCUCCCCAAAAUAGACUCAGACAGUGGAACUAAGCAGACUUGAAAGUUUACUCUGGUGGUGGAUGGUGGGGAUAUUUUUAGAAGCUGCCGCAGUCUGAUUAUUAUGAUGUAUCAUUCCAGAGGUUUUUCUUUGAAGAAUGCAAAUGAGUUUUUAUCAAUAAGCUUUGUCAAACCAGCAUUCAUCCUAUCCAUAGACACAUGUGGGACCAUAUGACUUAGUUUCAUGAAUUCCAAAAUGUUCAUUUUUGGCCUCUCACUUGAGGCAGCAACUUUUGUUUCCCACAGACUGAUACGCUCUGUUGUGGUGGUACAUUCUGAUGUGAAGUAAAUACUAGAACACAGUUCAAUAUGUAAUUAAGCACCUACAACCUUUUAUGCAAAAAUGUGUUUCCUGCAAG